UACAGAGGUCCCAAGCGUUGUUCGGAUUCACUGGGCGUAAAGGGUGCGUCGGCGGUCGGGUAAGUCUGAUGUGAAAUCUCACAGCUUAACUGUGAAACUGCAUUGGAUACUAUCCGGCUCGAGGAAUGGAGGGGAGACUGGAAUACUUGGUGUAGCAGUGAAAUGCGUAGAAAUCAAGUGGAACACCAGUGGCGAAGGCGAGUCUCUGGACAUUUCCUGACGCUGAGGCACGAAAGCCAGGGGAGCAAACGGG
rnacentral:rRNA from 1 species